UUGAUUUGUGAAUCCACCCAUGCGCGA
rnacentral:tRNA from 1 species